rnacentral:rRNA from 1 species
AUUGAACGCUGGCGGCAUGCUUUACACAUGCAAGUCGAACGGCAGCGCGGGCUUCGGCCUGGCGGCGAGUGGCGAACGGGUGAGUAAUACAUCGGAACGUGCUCAGUAGUGGGGGAUAGCUCGGCGAACGCCGGAUUAAUACCGCAUACGACCUGAGGGUGAAAGCGGGGGAUCUUCGGACCUCGCGCUAUUGGGGCGGCCGAUGGCAGAUUAGCUAGUUGGUGGGGUAAAGGCCUACCAAGGCGACGAUCUGUAGCUGGUCUGAGAGGACGACCAGCCACACUGGGACUGAGACACGGCCCAGACGCCUACGGGAGGCAGCAGUGGGGAAUUUUGGACAAUGGGCGAAAGCCUGAUCCAGCAAUGCCGCGUGUGUGAUGAAGGCCUUCGGGUUGUAAAGCACUUUUGGCGGGAACGAAAAGGACUGUGCCAAUACCACGGUUCGAUGACGGUACCCGCAGAAUAAGCACCGGCUAACUACGUG